AUUCCAGCUCCAAUAGCGUAUAUUUAAGUUGUUGCAGUUAAAAAGCUCGUAGUUGGAUUUCGGAUGAAUGCGACCGGUCCGCCGUUUCGGUGUGUACUGGUUACGUUCGUCUUGCUGUCGGGGACGCGCUCCUGGCCUUAACUGGCUGGGACGCGGAGUCGGCGAAGUUACUUUGAAAAAAUUAGAGUGUUCAAAGCAGGCCUACGCUCUGAAUACAUUAGCAUGGAAUAACGCGAUAGGACUCUGGUCUUAUUGUGUUGGUCUUCGAGACCGGAGUAAUGAUUAAGAGGGACAGUUGGGGGCAUUCGUAUUUCAUUGUCAGAGGUGAAAUUCUUGGAUUUAUGAAAGACGAACUUCUGCGAAAGCAUUUGCCAAGGAUGUUUUCAUUA
rnacentral:rRNA from 1 species